UCCCGAGAUGUUUGUGAGGAAUUGCACAUUACUGCUAGCAAGAUUGCUGAUGAUUGAUACCAUGGUCCAACAGGUAUUCACAUGAAAUUAAUAAAUGGCACCUUAUGGAUUGGAGUACUCUACUGUAUCACCUAUCUAGGAGAUUUUAAUUUUUUCCUUCUAUUAUUUUUCUUAAUCCCUGUGUACUCAUUGGACUUUGUAUAGUUCUCAGUUUUAUGAAGUGGUUCAGGCUGGCGUAAGCCGCCAUACUCCCAGUAAAAAAAGGCUACAAGCUUCGCUUCGGCCUUUCGGAACUGAAUAUUAUGUAGUUUUAUUGAGAUUAUUGAUAGUGCUUCUGUACUAUCAAAGAAGGUAAUAGUCUCUUAUGUGUUUCUUUUUGUCCAUUUGAAUGCACUCCAUUUUUUAGUGUAUUAAUUAACAUCAAAUCUCCCAUUCUUUCUAGAGUACUGAUGUAUUAGUAUUUUCAGCUUAACACAUUUAACUUCCUAUAGAUUUCAUGGUUUAUGCAGAUUAACCGAGCUAAGAAUUUUUGUGAAGCUAAAGCUGGUGUUAAGAUGAACGCCGCUAUGUAUAUAUUUGAAACAGUUAGAUACAUGCUUGACAGACUAUAUAG
rnacentral:lncRNA from 1 species